rnacentral:rRNA from 1 species
GUGAACGCUGGCGGCGUGCUUAACACAUGCAAGUCGAACGGUAACAUGAAUAGCAAUAUUUGAUGACGAGUGGCGCACGGGUGCGUAACGCGUAUGCAAUCUACCUUUAACUGGUGAAUAGCCCGAAGAAAUUCGGAUUAAUACACCAUAGCAUAUUUGAAUGGCAUCAUUUGAAUAUUAAAGUAACAACGGUUAAAGAUGAGCAUGCGUGACAUUAGCUAGUUGGUGAGGUAACGGCUCACCAAGGCUACGAUGUCUAGGGGAUCUGAGAGGAUUAACCCCCACACUGGUACUGAGACACGGACCAGACUCCUACGGGAGGCAGCAGUAAGGAAUAUUGGACAAUGGUCGCAAGACUGAUCCAGCCAUGCCGCGUGCAGGAUGACAGCCCUAUGGGUCGUAAACUGCUUUUGUGCGAGAAAAAACCCCUCUACGUGUAGAGGGCUGAUUGUAUCGUAAGAAUAAGGAUCGGCUAACUCCGU